AAAAUUAGUUGUGUGAAUUUUUUCUGGACCCCACAGUUUUAAUCAGUAUUUGUUCUUGUUGAAGGACACAUUACAUGUCACUCAAUAUGCUAUUUUCCAUAGAGAUCUUAGUAGUUUUGCACAGUUAAUUGUUUAAAAGUUUGGUAGUUUGGACACUCAAUUAUUUGUCAGCAUUUAAUCAAAUAAAUUAUAGUCUCCUAGUAGGGGAAAUUCAAAUAUCAUGACUGGCAUAUGAUGACAAUUUAAAAGAUGGCUAGGUCCUCGAUUUCUAACUUACUCUGUUUGAUCACCUACAUAUAUGUUAAAUAUAUGUCAAUUCCCUCAGAUACUUUGCAGAUAUUUGAAAGAAGUCCCUACAUAUCUGUGAAAUAUGUACAAACAUAAUUGCAGAUAUUCUGCAAAUAUGAAUAAAACCAUUACAGACAUUGUGCAGUACUGUAACAUAUGAGACAGAUAGUUGCAGAUACUUUACAUAUCUGUCCAUUCGGUAAGGGAUACUGGAUUUGGUAUGAAAGUCAGGCAAGAAGGCAGUUGAUGGUGGUUGGUCCUCAUGGGGGUCAUGGGGGAGGUGCAGUGUAACUUGUGGUGGUGGAUCGCAGAGACGAUAUCGCAGCUGUACCAAUCCACCGCGAGUGUGGCCUGGAAUGUAUUGCCAAGGACCUAGUCACAUGAACCAAGCUUGCAACAUAAAUCAUUGUCCAGUCCAUGGUGGCUGGAAUGAGUGGAGUGCUUGGAGUGUCUGCUCCAAAACAGUCAGUGGCAUACAGAUAAGGUUCAGAGAAUGUUCUAAUCUAGAACCAGC